GAUCAUGGCUCAGGACGAACGCUGGCGGCGUGCUUAACACAUGCAAGUCGAACGAGAAUCACUGGAAGGAGUUUUCGGACAACGGAAGGUGAGGACAGUGGCGGACGGGUGAGUAACGCGUGAGGAACCUGCCUUUCAGAGGGGGACGAACAGUUGGAAACGACUGCUAAUACCGCAUGACACAUAGAGAUCGCAUGGUUUUUAUUGUCAAAGAUUUAUUCGCUGAAAGAUGGCCUCGCGU
rnacentral:rRNA from 1 species